rnacentral:rRNA from 1 species
CCUACGGGAGGCAGCAGUGGGGAAUUUUGCGCAAUGGGCGAAAGCCUGACGCAGCGACGCCGCGUGGAGGAUGAAGGUCUUCGGAUUGUAAACUCCUUUUGCAGGGGAAAAUAAUGAUGGUACCCUGCGAAUAAGCCACGGC